CGUGAGCCACCAACAUGAACUCCAGCUUCUCCUUCUCCUUCUGCAGCUCAGCAAUCUCCUUCUGCAGGCCUGACUUCUCCUCCUCCAGCUCCUCUGUCUCCUGCCACGGAAAGAGAGGGAUGUGAGGGACAGCAACCUGCCAGGGACCAAUCUAGGCAGGAAAGAGAAAACCAGUAAUGUUCUCAGACACUGUGAGAGCAGAGGCUCACACACCUAACCACAGACCCCGCUGGUCUGAGUCUCUCAGUCACCUGGAGGCUCAAGAUUCCUUUCAUUUCCAAAGAAGGAAAGUCAGCUUGGAGAGGGGGUAAGACAACAACUGCAGCUGCCAUAACCCAGCACCUACUUUGUGCAGGGCACAGUGUUAAGCAUUUCAGAGAUGAUCUCAUUCAAUCUUCCAGGAGUUUUUUGGAAGCAGAUGUUAUCAUCGCCCCAUUUUGCAGAUGAGGAAACUGAGGUUCAGAGGGGUUCUGUUAAUUUUCCAAAGUCACCGAGCUAGCAGGUGGGGUAGCCCAGAUUUGAUUCCCAAUGUAUCUGACUCCAGGGUCUAUGUUCUAUGGCCUUGGUGCCAGGACUGCCCCCUCGGUACCCCUGAGGGGUGAGUACUGCAGAGAUCUGCAUGGAGAAGGGGGUACGGAACACAGCUCUACCCACCUCUCUCCUUCUCUUACUCCCCAACCCCAUGCCAGCCCACCUGUGGAUGGAUAAACGCUAAGCCCUAGGCUGCUAGAGAGUGGAGACUUUGUCAUGCACACUCCUGUAUCCCUAGCACCUAGAACAGUGCCUGGCUUCUCAGAAGUGCUCAGCAAAUCCCUGUGGGAUUAUCACAGCCUCUCCUCCUCCCUUUUUUCACUCCAAUUUCUUUCUUUUUUUUUUUUUUGAGACAGAGUCUCACUCUGUCUUACCCAGGCUGGAGUGCAGUGGCAUGACCUUGGCUCACUGCAGCCUCUGCCUCCCGGGUUCAAGCUAUUCUCCAGUCUCAGCCUCCCGAGUAGCUGAGACUACAGGCACCUGCCACCACACCCGGCUAAUUUUGUAUUUUUCAUAGAGAUGGGGUUUCACCACAUCGACCAGGCUGGUCUUGAACUUCUGACCUCAGGUGAUCCACCCGCCUCAGCCUCCCAAAGUGCUGGGAUUACAGGCAUGAGCCACGGCGCCUGGCCUUUUGCUCCAAUUUCUUAAGCACAUAUUUCAGGACUCCCAGAACCCUCAGAGAACAUUUGGUUCAGCCACCACGCUUGACACAGAAGUAACGUGACAGCCCGAGAGGGCCUGUGAGGAUGCCAGGGUCACCCCGCAAGGACCUCAGCCCCCUUCUUUCAUCCCCAGCCAGAGAAGCAGAAGCGAGCAAGUGCACGUGGAGGGGCCGCUGUGGGAGGGGAAGAGGUGUGUGUCACCAGCCUCCUCCCCACGUUUUCCCUAACAUGGAUUCCUGUUCAUCAGUGAGGACAUACGGGCAAGGGCUUCGUUCAGCAGAGGACAGCAUAUUCCGGAGUGAAAAACAGUUUCCGUCUGUCUCAAGGGUCUGACGAACGUCAUGAGCUUCUGAGAGGCUUCCUGUGGAGGAUGUGGCUCAGGGGCCUGGGUGGCUGGGUCAGAGGGCGGGGGAGGUGGGGGAGGCAGGGGAGUAGGGUGUGAGGCCUCUGGGAGGAGGGAAGGAAAGUAGAGGAGCCUCAGGGGGCAGGGCUAUUCCGGGGCGGGUGGUGAGGAGCGCCACAUGGGGCACAGCUCCUUGAAGUGCCAAUCACAGAAAGGUUAGUGGUGGGAGGGCCCGCUGAGGAAGUGGAUUGUGGAUCUGCCUCACCUGGGAAUGAAGAAUUCCCACUCAUCCUCCCCGGCUCUAACACCUCCGAGGGCCAUUACUACAGGCAUCACAGAAUUCACGCAAUUCAAUUCAUUCAACACCCCAGAGUGAGGGCUGCAGGACAGAGAAAGACAAGCCUAAGUGGGUGGAUGGUACCUGGAAACAUUAACUCAAGUGAGGGGAUGGGCCAGGCGUGGUGGCUCACGCCUGUAAUCCCAGCACUCUGAGAGGCCAAGGCAGGCAGAUCACCCGAGGUCAGGAGUUCGAGACCAGCCUAGCCAACAUGGUGAAACCCUGUCUCUAUUAAAAAUACAAAAAUUAGCCGGGCAUGGUGGCAGGCACCUGUAAUCCCCGCUAGUUGGGAGGCUGAGGCAGGAGAAUGGCUUGAACCCAAGAGGCAGAGGUUGCAGUGAGCUGAGAUCGUCCCACUGCACUCCAGCCUGGGCGACAAGAGCGAAACUCCAUCUCAAAAAAAUUAUAAUAACAAAAAAAGUGUGAGGGGAUGUUUUCCAAAGCCCCAUCCUGGGCAGUCACUGUGAGGACCACUGACAGAGUCUCUCUCAUCUCCUCACUCUGAAAGCAUUCCACUGGGGAGAGUCAACCCUGGCUCGGGGCUUCCUCCACACAGCACACGGCCCUUCCUGCAGGGCCAGGCUCUGAAGGGAGUUACGUGACGUUGGUCAGGUCAAGCUUAACAGAGGGAAGGGCAGGGCUGCGGGUCCCCAGGUCUGGGCAAUUAGGCGGCACGGGAGAGUGACUCACAAGAGCAGCACGCGGUACCAUGGCCACAGCUCUGAGUUCAUGAUAGAGGUGGGGAACCCGCCUGCCCAUAAAGGAAAUGAGAAAACCCCAAGAAAAUACAACCCUGCUGCCACGUGACCUAUCUCCAUCAAGACUUCUCCCUGGCCCAACCCAGAGUGCUUAGGCCAGGCUGGGCCACUCCUGAUGGCGGCAGGCAUGGGAGUGGCUGGAACCUCGGGAAGCAGCCCUGGAUGGGGCAGGUCUGGACCUGCCCUGGCUCCCACCCUCCAUCAUCCCUCACCCAGGAGCCCCCACAGUUCUGUGAGCAGAGAACACUCAGGUGCUGCGUAAAAACCGUGGCUAGCACCCCCACAGAAGGUUGUUCAUUUCUUCCCUCUGGGCCCUGGCUGGUGCUAAACGCCACCUCCCUCUCUCUCUCUCUUUUCAAUCAACACAAUGCUGACCCAUGUGUCCAAAGGAAGGAAAGCUCUAUCUCCACUGACUCAUCUGUAGGGCAUUUGUGGGUAAGGAGACAGCUGUGGGAGAGAGGAUCAGGACCCCCGGGGCUCUCACUCCAGCCCACCCAGAGGUGCUCCCACCCUACGCAGAGUUCCUCACCGCCUGCAGCUUCUCUGUCAGCUCCCGGCGUCGGUUCCGGCACUUGGCUGCAGCCAGCUUGUUCCUCUCCCGCCGGAUGCGACGCUUCUCCUCCUCUUCAGGAGACAGCUAGAGGCCAAAGCCAAGGAUCAUGGUUAGAACAGAGACAAUGGUUCACAGUAUUUUUUAAAAACUGUAUUUUAAGUAAGGCAAGAAGCCCUUCUGGAAAUGGAGAAAGGAGAAGGAAGGGCAAGAGGAGCAUGGCUGGACUCAGAGGCCCCAGAACAUGUGGAUCCCUGAUGUCUGGCUGCCUGGGAGGGCUCUUUUGAGCUGAAUCUGCCCCGGAAGGUGAUGUCCAAGUUUAAAGUCCAUGUUUAAACAGGACAGCAAUGGGUCAGAGAUUCACUGGCCCAGGCAUGAUGGCAGCACCUAUCACAUCAGCCCUGAUUCAGUGCUCAGGCCAGAGAGAAGGAGCUGGGGAUGCUUCUCCAAGAGUCCCCUCCUGCCAGCCAGGCGUGGCCCCACCCACUUAAGCAGCUUCUUCCAAACCCUGGCUAAUUUCUCCUCCCAUCACUCUGCCUGCUCUGCAAGCCUCAUUAUCCCCAUUUUGUUAAGUAGCUGGGCCUGGAGUCCCCACACAGGUUAAGAACCACCCAGGGGGGAAUGUUAUGUUGCUGAUGGGAGGGCCAAGAGUGCCACUCCACUCCCGAUUUCCUCUGCCAAUCCCAGGGUGCCAGCUGCUCACGGUUCAACCCCAGGUACUCCCCCACAUGCCUGGUACAGUGCUAAGUUGGACAGGACAUGCAAAAGGAAGAGGAGCCCCCAGCAGGUAAAAUCCUGCUGCCCACCAUAUCUGUCCACUCAACAAGUGAGCACCUGGUUCCAUGUGCAAGAUGAAGUUCUACGGGCUUGGGAUUUAUCUGCGAACCAAACAAAGGAAGAUUCCCCUGCAAAGAGCUUAGGAUCUAGCUUCUUCCAGUGAGACAGUUAGGAAUCUGUCACUCAUACCGGAAAGCAUGAACUCUGCUCUACUGAGCAGGGCAAAUGCUCUGGUUCUACAGAGCCCUGCAGAGCUGUGACCCCAAUGCCUCUCUCAGGCAGAGGUGACACAAGGAGACGGCUGUGGGCCAAAGCAGAAAGCAACACAAAGGGAAAGCCCACCCAUUCAGUUAUCAGACGUUGACUGCACACCUACUAACUGCCCGGUGCUACACUAGGAGCUUAGAAGAUCUCAAGGGGAAUAAGACCUGGGUCAGCUCUCACGGGACACCUGGGGGCAAAAUCAAAGCUACUUUUGGAGGAGCAGGGAGAAGCUACCCCAAGGAGGGAUACUGCCUGGACUUCAGGUCACCCCAUGAAGGAAAGAGCCACUGUCCUGGUUGGGUCCAAGUCAGAGUCCCACAAUGCUCCCUUUAGCCCUGGAGGUCUGUUGCUGUGAUGUUUUGAACAGCAAAGAGAGGACAAUCAUCACAGCACCAGAGAGGACAAUCCCAUGCCUGUCACACAGAGGGAAGUCCACAGCCCGGCUGAGGUCAUGAGGCCAUUUGGCCAAGGCCCUGAAUACUUCCUGCUCCUAAACCUGUCUUGUCUUGAGCCCAGCAGAAUUGCCAAGAAAGCCUUAUGGCCCUGCUGCAGGCCUGGGUUUAGGGCUCACCACUGAAAGGGCCACCAGGGCUCCCCUUAAGGCCCAGGAAGCCCCCUAGAUCCCUCGCUAAUGAGAGGCAGAAAAGAAGGAGGCUGGCCUUGACCCAGUUCAAGCCCUCCUUCCCCCUUGGCUGCUUCUGGACAACUUUUGGCCUCCUGACUGACCUAGAAGUCUCUCCCCUGACUGGUGAGGUGUGGGGCAACUUGUGGGAGCUGUCAACAUAGGAAGUGUUCAGGGGCGGUGAGAUCAACAUGGUUCCAGCUUGAGUGUGUCAGCAGCACCAUGUACCCACCCACAAGCCACACACACCCUCCCCUCCCCACCUCCUCAGAGUCGCCGCCACAGGGCACAGAGGGAACCUCCCAAGAGGAGGCCUAUGAGGCACCAGGCCGGCUCCGGAGGCAGGCUCCUCCCUAGCAGGGAGGCUGGGGGAGGCUGGGGACGGCCGGAGUAAGCUUCAGAGCAAAGCCCUGAGGGCUGGCAACCUGAACAGCCAAAGUUCUAGGCUGCCACUGCCCAGGCUUCCUUAAAGCUGCUGGGAGAUGUGUGAAUUCCCAACUGAUGUGGGAUACAAUGCUCCUUGUUCUCUCCCUCCCUCUCAAAAAAGGAAGGAAACUCUCCAGACAGAUUGUAUGAGGCACGCCUAGGUGGUGUGGUGGGAAAACCACAGGGCCAAAGGUCAGGAGAAGUGGGUUCCAGUGCUGGCUCUGCUACUAAUUCACUGUGAGACUCUAACAGGGCCCUUCACCUUUCUGGGUCUCCGUUUCCUUGUCUGUAAAAUGGGUAUAAAGGGAAAAUGAGAAAAGAUGGUCUCCAAAGUCCCUCUGGAUACAAAUUUCUAAAUUUGGUGUGAGGUAGGCCCAGAAGAGAAUGGAGAGCGUGGCCGGGCGCGGUGGCUCACGCCUGUAAUCCCAACACUUUGAGAAGCUGAGGCGGGUGGAUCACCUGAGGUCAGGAGUUCGAGACCAGCCUAGCCAACAUGGCAAAAUUCCAUCUCUACUAAAAGUACAAAAAAAAUUAGCCAGGCAUGGUGGUGCAUGCCUGUAAUCCCAGCUACUCAGGAGGCUGAGGCAGGAGAAUUGCUUGAACCGCGGAGGUGGAGGAGGUUGUAGUGAGCCGAGAUCGUGCCACUGCAUUCUAGCCUGAGUGAUAGAGCAGGACUCCAUCUCAAAAAGAAAAAAAAAAAAAAAAAAAAAAAGGGAAUGGAGAGCAUUCAGCACAUCCUCAGGCUUUGUGGUCCUGCUAGCCCCAAAGAGUACCUGGCAAGCCUGGCUCUCACUCAGGAUCACUUAUAUCCCAGAAGAGUCCAGCUCAUCAGUGAGUAUAAGGCUUUGCACCUUGGAUUCCGUGAAGGAAGCCUAUUUAUAAAAGUCCUUACAAGCAUGGCUACUGCAAUAUUUACAACUGCAAUUAUAGAAAGCAACUGUGAGGAGGAUACUGGCCACUUGCUCCAGCAGCAGAGGCCCAACAUGCAGCUGUGAAUCCAUUAUAGUGUCUAGCAGACACACCUCCCCAAGUGGCUCUGCACCGUGGUUCUGCCAUUAACAGAACAAACCAACAAGUAGUGGAUACAAGACCCAGCUUUGUCCUCGCAGGAGCAGAGCUCCUGAGAAAGCUUCCAGUUUCUUGGUGUGGUGAUCCCUGUAAUUCCAAGUAUCCUGGGGUCUGGAUCUACCCUGAUCCACUGGGAACCAUGUUUGAAAGGUCCGUAUAUUGGAACAUUGUGGCCCUGGGGAUCACAGAGUGAAGAUGGACAGUGGUUGAAAUGAGGAAGGGUUCCAAGGCUGUCACUGAAAUAGUUUCCCAGGAUAACAAUUCAUUUGAAAAAGGGAUUCCACUGCUAAAGUAUUUUUCCCUUCCCUGGGCUCAGGGUGGCAUAGCCCUGGAGAAAGAAUACUGCAUAGGGGGUCCAGGGAACUGGGAUCUAGCCCAGACUUCCCCACUCACUGGCCGAGUGGCCACACACAGGUAUGUCUGGCCCUUGCUUGUAUCAUCUGACAUGGGGGAGAGGUGGGGCUCUCUGAGGCUUUAUCCCAUUCUUUCUGGAAUUAUGCAUGAUUCUGAUUUCCCUUUCCAAGACCAGGGAACUUGGCACUGCCCUGGCUUACUGCUGAUCCAGGCAAUGAGCCUCUUGAGUACUAGGUAGGUGCUGCCUAAAUAGCAGAGCCCCCCCUUCCCCAUUUUCUGGCUUCCCUCCCCAGCCAGGUUAAUUCUUUCUCAAAGCUGAGCCCCUUGAAGAGAAAAGGGCUGAUGUCUGGCCUCCCCUGCCUCAUCCUCCUGUCCAUGCCACUGAACAGACUCCUAAGGCCCCAGAGUUACUGCACCUCUGGAACAUGCAUUCCAGGCCCUUGAAAUAGGCUCCUGCUCCGAGUUGGAGGCCUAGAACACUGAGGAGGAAUGGGAAGUCGUGGGCAGUACCGACCCAGAGCUUGACCCCGUAGGUCUGCUGGGUGCCUGGCCUGCACUAGACCCUGGGAGACGGCUAAGGGAUAAUCCUAAAAAGCUCACAGCCAGGGUUCAUUGGCUGCUUGUCCCAUGGCCCUUUUGCCAAGGAUCAGAGAAGGAUCCUGCUGUGGGCAGGUCGUAAUGGUCCUUCCCAUCUGUAGCCAAGUCCUGGCUUGCAGGGACCAUGAUCCCCAUUUUGUGGCUGAGGAAAGUGAGACUCAGAGAUUCUAAGGGACAUAAGCGAGAUGACAGAGCCAGCCUGAGUCUUGGCUCUCCAGCUCGGCCUCCAGUAAGGGGGAUGACGUGCUCUUCGACCCCUAGCUCCCUUGUCUCCCCUGCUCUCAGAACAUUAACCCUCCCAGUCUGCAGAAACCCGUUCUGUGUUUCUGGGGCUCUGAAAGCCACUGACGUGGCUCCUUCCCACUGGUCUGAGCUGUACCUGCUCAUCUCUCCUCCUGCGGCCCACGGUGGUGCCAAUGGUCUUGAUCACGCCAGGUCUUGGGAGGGCCAUGUGUCCAGGGACAGAGGCCAGGCCCGGCAGGGGGCUGUAGGGGUGCGAGCGAGGGUAUGGGUUGGACAUGGAGGUGAUCACUGUGGGCUGCACCAUCCACUGCAGGUCCUGGCUGGUCGUGAUGGCGUUGAUGGUGGGGAUGAAUGCACUGCCUGAGCCAGGCAUAUCUACCCGGAAUUUCUGAAAUGAGGAAAAAAAAUACAAAUGAGCCAAUAAAUACUAAGCUGAACAGGAUAGUUAAUAAUAAUUGAACAGAGCUGAGGCAAAAACCAGCACAGAGCACAGUCAGUGUUCGAAGGGCAAGGUCAGGACCCCAGGUGGGCCUGGACAAGUCCUGUGCAUCCAAGAAUCAAGGGGGGAAUCUUAAUUAUGCCUGGGGCUUCACGUCGGAUCUGCUCCCUGACUGGGGUCCUGAGAACUCCAUCCCCAGGUGGCUCAGUGAGGAUACUGUCCUAUUCCAAAUGACUUCCAAGAUAGACGUGGUCCCCAGCACUCACACUCGGCAGGCCCUCUUGGCAGCUCUCCAGGAUACACAUCUGCAGGAUGUGGCACCUGGGUUUUUAAGCCUCUGAGUCGCCUGCCAACUGUUUCUCAGGGUACCAGCUCAGGACACCUUGAAGGGAUUUGCACACCAGUAGCCUUGGACCAACAAAGAUCACCAAGGGAGCAUACUGUGUCUGCCUUUGUCACUUUCCAAAGAGGUUCAGGACAGAGCUAUGACUCCAUCAGGGCACAGCCAGGUCCGUGAAAAGAUGUCCUCUAACCCAGGAGACUAACAAGUAGCGGCAUUUGCAGCCAGACAUCCCUUGCUGUCCUUGUCCCUCCUCCCUUCCCAUCAUCAGCAUCUUGCUUGGGGCAGACUGGCUGAGUGUGUCUCUCUACCCAGCUACAUAGGCAUUGAUCUAUGUUCACAGAUGUUUCUGUGGGAAACUCUGGUGCUGCUAGUGCAGUUUUCUCCCCGCUUCUUAAUUUAUGCCCAGACCACGUUGCAGAGCUCUCUGGAACAUGCUGCAGGAAGCAUUCUAUUUAAAAUAUAAGAUGAUGACAGAGUAUAGAAACUAAAAUGGGCUGUGCUCCUUAGCAGCUGGUCCUGACCUUUCUCCAAGGCAGCUACUGGAAACUGCAAGAAGCGGGAAGGAGAGAAGAGCCCCCUACUUCCAGCUUUUCAGAGGCAAGUCCCCCUAAUGGAACCCAGGUGAACCUUCAUCUUCAGAUGACUCCUGUGUCCACAUAAAGCUUCUCCAAGUAGUUUCUUCCCCACUUAAAAACUGGGUGAGAUGAAGACAAUAGCUAACAACACUUCCUGGGCACUUACUAAAUGUCAGACACCAUGGCUUACCUAGAUUAUCUCACUAAUUCUCUCUCUGAGUGAAGAACGACCAUUAGCUCCAUUUUAGGGACAGAAAUUUAGGCUUAGUGAGAUUAAGUAACUUAUUCAAGGCCACAUUGCUAAUAAGCAGCGGGGUCAGGAUUCAAACCCAGUCCAGCCUGACAAAGAGGCCAGAGCCCCUGAACACAGUGGUAUACAAGCUCCUUUUCCAUUGCUUUCUUCCUCAAAAUCCAGCCCUAAGUGCUGGUUAUCCACCCCCACUGCCCUCAGACAGAGUGUCAGGUCAUCCCCUAUAGACCUCCCCUCUCACAAAGAAGGUACCACAGGUCUGUCUGGCCCCGAAUGGAACCCCACUAUCAUUAGCAUGGAUGCUGUAGAACCCUCCCUAUGCUGGUCCAAUCAGACCAACUAGGAUAGAAGCAUUCGCAGCAAUGGAAGCUGGCACCACCAUUGUCUUUGCCUUGUCACAACAUCAGGGUUCCUGCUGUGUAAAUAACACAUAGAGUACCUCACUACAGCUGACAGAGCUGGGGACCCCUUCUUGCUCAAUUCCCUGCUAUCUGCCUGACCCUAGUCUGCAUGUUGGAACGGCUGCCUCAUCAACCAGACCACCUCGGGGGCCCAGGCCAAGGGCUUCAGUGAAGAGAGCUGCCCAGCACAAUGGAUUCUGGGAUUCUGGAGGAAAGUUACCCAGUGCAAUGGAUUCUGGGGUUUGGGAGGAGAGCUGCCUAAAGCAAUUGGUUCUAGGAUUCUGGAGGAAAGUUACCCAUUGCAAUGCAUUCUGGGAUUCGGGAGGAGAGCCACCUAGAGCAAUGGGUUCUGGGAUUCUGGAGGAAAGUUACCCAGCACAAUGCAUUCUGGGAUUCGGGAGGAGAGCUGCACAGAGCAAUGGGUUCUGGGAUUCUGGAGGAAAGUUACCCAGUACAAUGCAUUCUGAGAUUCAAGAGGAGAGUUGCACAGAACAAUGGUUUCUGGCAUUCUGGAGAAAAGUUAUCCGGUGCAAUGCAUCAUUCUGAGAUUCAGGAGGAGAGCUGCCUAGAGCAAUGGGUUCUGGGAUACUGGAGGAAAGUUACCCAGUACAAUGGAUUCUGGGAUCCCGUGAAGAGAGCUGCCCAGGGUGAUAGAUUCUGAGUUGCAUUUCUGAAGGCAAAGAAAAGUGGGCUUUUUAUCAGGCGCUGACUGAAAAGCAGCAGGUGUGUGCAUAUGAAGGAGGGAAGAGUGCAGUGAACAGGAAAGCAUCCAAGUGGGAAAUGAUCUUCAAGGAGGAAAAAUGGCCAAUUGGGGCUGGGCUGUGAGUAGGCAGAGUCGUGAGAACAGCAGGCAUGGCUGAGUGUGUGUAGAAGCACCAAGUCCCAGACAGCUAUUUUUUUCCUGAGCUGCUGGAUGGGAGGGGCGGGGAGUCAACACUGCACUCGGGGUCAGGAGGCAUGGGGUUGAGGCCUGGCUUAGCCACUGAGUGCCUUGCCCUGGGCUCAAGGACUCAAUUCCAUGGAUGUAAAGGGGAAUACUCAUCAAACUCACUGCACUGCCAUGAGGAUUAAAUGAGUAGCUACUUGUAAUCACAGGCUAUAAAAGCACGCCAGUGGUUCUCAACCCUGGCUACACAUUAGAAUAUUCCAAGGAGCUUGUAAAAAACACACUAAUGUCAGAGCCUCGCCAUUAGACCUCUAAAAUAAUUGGUUUGGGGCAGGGCUCUGAUAAGCUUUUUUUUUUUUUUUAAACCCCCAAGGAGAGUCUGUUGUGCAGCCAGGGUUGAGAAACAUUGCUCCAAACCAAUGGAAGGUCACCAUCACCACCACCAUCAUCAUUAGAUGUGCCUGUGUACUCUGCCCAGGAGGCUCUGGGGAGAAGUGCCAGCUACCCACUCCUGGGAAGCACCCAACUUUUAAAUUCCAUUUCUCUCCCCAAGCCAGGUUCUGGGUUUGAAAUGCACCUGAGGCAUUCAGCACAAUGGUUUGAUAUGACUCCCUCCUCCAUGGGGAAGCUGUCAGCUUUCCUUUUAGGAAAGCACCUAAGAAAGUCACUCCUCAUUCCAACAAAUAAAAGUGCUCCCGUUUUAGGCUUGGGGAACCCAGCAGAAAAUCUGAAGCAAAGCUGAGGGACAAAGACCCCUUCAGAAUAAGUGGAUGCCUAUUAGCCCCUCUGAGGCCCUCUAGUCCACCCGCUCUGGAGGGCAGGUCCGUGGUGUGUGCUCCCCGGUAUACAUCAGCCAGAUUCCUCGCAGCAAUGGCUUGGUCUAGACAAAACAAGACAGCAAUAAAAACCAGCCAGGAGGUAAUGACUGCCUCUGAAACGCAUGUACACCUUGUUUCAGACAGGAGGCAAAGCCAUCUGGAUAAUACACUGGCUCUAAACUGCAAGGAAAACAAUGUCCCAUCCCCAGAGGGGCCCGGGGCUCUGAUAAAGAAGGCUUUUGUCUCCAAGAGGAGCUUCUCUUGGAGACACACAAAAGUUUCAAUUAGAUCUGGCAGAUGGGUCUUGUCUCAACUCCCAGCAUGUUAUUCAGAAACGUGUUAUUCAGAAACGUGUUAUUCAGACACUGGGGUAGGAGAGAAGAGGUGAAGUUAGGAGUUUGUGGUCCCAGAAGUUAGCCUAGCAUUCUUCUAUGCCAAUAGACCCGAGAAUCAGCCACAUGUCACACUGGAGAUAAAUCGUGGUUCUCUACGGACGAGUUAACACUAAACACAAACCAAGAUAGAGCUGCUCAGCUGGGGGCUACAGGGCAGUUUCAAACCUGCUGCAUGCAUGCCAGGAGUGUGCUGGGAGUGAUGGGAUCAGGAGAGGUAACCCAAAACCUCACUCGGCUGCCUGGGGCUCUGUAGCCAACAUGUCCUCCUCAAGGACACUUUGAAGAUGCUGGAUGCCUAUGUAGCAUUCCAGCCUGGCAAAGCCUCCAAAUAUUUCACUGUGUCACCCUGUCAACUGCGGGGUGGGCAAGAAUGCCUAUAAAAGGAUAUAGUGGUCCCCAUCCACCUCCUAGAGCAGAGUUUAGCAAACUUUUGCUGUGAAGGGUCAGACAGCAAAUAUUUUAGGCUUGGUGGGCUAUACGGUCUUGGCUGCACCUCAAUUCUGCCACUGCAGUGCGAAAGCAGCCCUAGAUAACAUGUAAACAAAUAGGCAGGACUGUGCCACUGUAUUUUAUUUAGAAAAAUACUCAGGACAUAGUUUGCCAACCCCUGUCCCAGAGGUUCAUUCUCAUCUCCCAUGCUCAGGUUGGAGGGAAACGAAUACAGAGGAAAUAAGAAAGCAAAAAGUCAGAACUGAGAUGUUCCUCCAACCCAGGUAGCCGAGGAGACGGGCUCUCACUUAUCAGCUUGAACCUCCAGACCCUGAGCCGACGUUCAAACCCUUACAAGCCUUGUGGUCUUUGGGCAUGGAAACUCCCAUCACCCUGCUGUACCCUGUUGCUAGGGUGCCACCGGGCUGCUUGGGAAGGAUGCGUGUGCUCCUUCCACUGCCAAUGAGAAAGACGGCCGAAAACACGGACCCUCUAGGGCCACCAAACCUCAGCAGGUCAGAGAAGUUCCCCCCACAACAGUUGCUGAUUUGGGAAAACUGCCUCCUGAGACUCUAUACUGGAGCCUUGGCUUCAGCUAUGAACCCAUGGCUUUUUGCUGACAGGUAUUGGAACUAGGGUUUGGGCCCCUACAGGACCGGAUGGGGCCGAGGGCUUAUCCCAGAGACUCGUGAGUGGGCAGAACUGGUAUGUGAGAUGGAAGUCAGGGUUGGGGUUCUUGGCCCAGCCCCUUGGCCAGGCGAUUCUCCAUCAGAUAGAUUUUUGUCUGGGUUAUCAAGCAUUCAAGCCAUGAAGCCCUGUGGACUCUGUAAACUGCCUUGCCAGGCAAGCAGGUAUGAUUGAGUGUAUCUAGGAAGGGACUGGGUUCUUUCCCUUUAAGAACCCUUUCUUUAGAUUCCCAGGAUGGAAAAGGGACAAUUCCAACAUCCUAGAAGAUUGGCUCCCAAGAAGAGAAAAGGAUAAGGGCACAAUCUGUCUCAUACCUCCCAUCACAUCCCCACUGAGGUCCAGUUUAACGCAAAUACUCUGUAUUUUUACUGAACCUGGGAUGUUCCCCAAAGCCUUCCAUAAGGAAUUUAACCAUUCUUCACAGGUUCUGCGUUGAACAUCACUUUGACCUCUGACAUUUCAUUCCUCUCUGAAGAAAUACCACUAUGUCACAAUGGAAACUGUUGCUAAUAAGUUGUGAUUUCCCAAAGCGUUACAGUUUAUAAAUGCUGUCUUAGGUGACUCGCCUCCCUUCAGCCUCCACGCUUUCCUGGGUUCCCUUGAAAGACUUACUCUAUCCUCCUCCACCUGGCUGCCUGCCAGGGGGAAGAGAAGCAGGGAAGGAAAGAAACAGAAAGAGAAGGCCUUAGCCCUCGUCCAGGCUCCCCAGCUGCUUCCCUGCCAGGGCCCUUUUGGCCAGAAGCGCCACUCCAAAGCACUGGGGAAUUCACUCCACUAGUGUGUGGGCCCCUUUGGAGCCCCCACAGCUCCCUGGCGGCUCUGUACUCCAUGGGAAUGACACGUCCUCUCAUCCUCCAUUAAAGCCACCGGAAGGUGAGCCUAGGAAAGUCUCACUGCCACGGGACAGGGCCGAGAGACCAGGUGGGCCAGGAGAAAUCUUAUACCUUCCCUCUCUGGCCCAGGGAGUGGAGAAGGGAUAGAAUUACCAGAUGGGGUUUGGAACAGAUAUAUUUGCCUCAAUCAGGGCAGCUGCUGUCAUUUUGAAAUACUGUGGCCACCAAAAGACACCACAUACAACAUAGAUGAGACAUAUCCACAAAGUAAUGAUGCUAUUUUUUUCUUUGUUUCAACAAAUAGACCGGAACGUUCGUCUCCUUAAUUCUCACAACCAGUAUCUUUAUUCCUAUCUAACAAAUGAGAAAAAAAAUCCAAGUUAUUGACGGCAAAGGUGCCUGCUUUGGUGUCCUUUGUCGUGGGCAUGCUCUCCCAGGUAGACUCUAGAGGCCUGCAGGACACAGGGUCACACCCUACUUUGGCCUCAGCCUGAUCAUCCAGACUUGUAUGUCAGACUCGGCUCCAAAGAGGCUUUUGGUAAUUUCCAAAUAUCAAAUUCACCCUUCAAAGGACAAAGAUUUGUUAGUAGGGAGGAUUUUCAAAAGAAUACGCUGAAAGCAACUGCAAAAGAGGGGGUACUGCAAAACCUUUCUGAGUCUAAGCAUAGCCGCAGCAUUCAGAUAAGCAUUUAGUCUCCCCAAGGAAAAAACAAGGAAGGGGAUGACAGUGACAAGGAUGAAUAAGUUCUGCUGUGUUUGUAUUAAGAUAGAGAAGAAAAAACAAGUCUCCCAAUUUUACCCUCACCUUGAAUAAUAAGACAGGCAGAAGCAGAAAUGGGUAGUGGAAAUGCACUCAGCGUUUUGGAUAGGAAAAUUCAAAUGCCUUUCAGACAAUACAUGACUGCUAUUUCACCCCAUUCCCUUUGAUGAAAAAGUGAAGCUGACUUCCACCAUCAAGAAUCAGCGGAACAGACAAAUUCUUGGGAUAACAUUUUGUUUGAUCCUAAUCUACAACAUCUGUAACAUCAAGGGGAAAAAAAAAAGCACCCAGACCCUUAAUCUAUGCCUCCCACAUUCCCACCAACUGAACAAGCCCCCUCCUAAUAUAAGCACAUAGGAAAACAUGCCUUGGGAAUUUGAACAAACUGUGAAGGCAACCUAAUGAAUAGACAGACAUCAAAAUAGGAAAAGAAAAAAGCACUCCUUUUUUUAUUUUUAUUUUUUAUUAUACUUUAAGUUCUAGGGUACUUGUGCACAACGAAAAAGCACUCCUUUUUUAACCAGGUUUUAUUUAGAAGAAAACAAAAAAGAAACUCAAAGUCAAGCAGUUCCUAGUUAACCACGGUUAAAUAUGUGGCAUUUAUUUGUCCCUCAUUAAAAAGAAAAAGCAUCCUAAGAAUUCCAAACUCACCAAUUUAACACUCUCUGGGACUGGAAAAAUACAUUCCCAAGAUAGUUUUCCUAAAAAUUUCCCGUAGAGGGCACUAGAGAGGUAUGAUUGAGGCUAGCUUGGGAAUCACAGUCAUUUCUGGUAAAAGUUCUUUGAUGUGAGGAAUGUCCCAGUCUGGUACAGUUGGCAAAAGUUCACUCUGGGGAAUUUUGUGUGUGUGUGUGUGUGUGUGUGUGUGUGUGUGUGUGUGUGUGUGUGUCUUGGGAAGGGGUGGUUGAGGAAGAAGAGUGCUAGUCUGGUAUUCCUUAACUCCAAAAAGGAAAUACUGCCCUUGAUUUAUUUUCACAAGUUAUCUGAGAAACAAAUAGCAGCCUUGGAAAAGUUCUAGGUCUUGUUUUUGUUUUGUUUUUUCAUUAAAAGGGGGCCCAGCUGAUGAAAACAAGUUAUGAAAUGACCUAUGUUUGUGUAACUGGCUGGAUUGCGUAAUGCUCAGGCCCUGAAACCGUAAUAGUCAAGCAGCCAGGCAGGGCAUAUAUCUGGGAGAUGUUUUCCUAGGAAAGUUAGGAGAGAAAAAACAACAGCAAAAAGAAAAAUCCAAGAAGGGGAGGUGUGUGCAACGGUUACUGACAAAACAAAAUCACCAAUGACCAACCUUUGAGAUUAAAACUAUAACUGGAACAGGAAAUAUUUUUCAUGCCUCAAGUUCCUGCCAUAUAUAAGAACAGAGGCUGUAACAAAGACUAGUCUGCUCCCCCCACCCCCAAAGUCACUGGAGCUCAUGGCCAUGUAUUAAGAUCCAGCUUCAUGAAGCUAGAGAGGACGGGAAAGCUCUGGGUUGAAGAACUGGCAACAAACUAAUCAGGAAUAUUGGACCCCCAAAAGAGAGAGCUGAAAAAAAUAAAAUUCACUUCCCCAGAGAAAAACCAGAGAACUGUCUCAUAUGGAUCGGUCCACUGAGAUGCCAUAAAAGAGAAAGGCCCAUCCACUAAUUGCCAGGAAAGUCUUCCAGUACAGGAAGCGGAGAGAAAUAAAGUGAUUACAGGUUUUAUCUGGUAUGUAGUAAAGUUACCUUGAGCCCAAGAUCGGGCAAGGUCAUAGCAUAGACUUGUGAAGGAACAAAAGCCUCUGAGGUCAGUCCUUAGGACCACAGAACAAUUUUGUUCACACUUGGAGCAAUGACAGAAAAAUCCACCAGUUCCUCCUCGUCCCCCACCCAACCACCACCACACCAAGGAGCGGACAGGCCAAGAAACUUGUCUCAAGUGGCAUUACCUUGCCAAUCCCUCCGGUUUGAAAGGCGCCUCACACACUGCCGGGCCGAAUGGGCAGGCGUCUAUGCGAAACCCCGUGCACUGGUUAUUGCUAAUUGCAAAAUACUCAUGUGUUACAGCAUGCUAGGAAUUAGCCAACAGCUGCUUUUUGCUUCGGUAAUGAGGCCCUAUUACACUCUGCUGGACUGAGUUCUCUUCCUUCUUCCUAGCACUGGUUUCCUGUCUGAUUUUCUUCCAAAACCGGGAAUUGCCUCCGCUCACAUCCUGGGCUCAAAGCCCUAGUGACACAGAUUAUUCAGUUGGGGCACUGAUGUCCGGUCUGACUUCCCUCCAGGCCCCAGGGUCUAUGCUAAACCAGGCAGUGAGAUUGUAAUACUCCAAUGAUCACUGCUAAAGACACAUUAGGGAAAAGAACAGAGAAGAAAUCAAAAGAUCCCUUCCUGAUUUCAGGGAGGAGGAGACAGACAGGCGUUUGGGGUUUGUCGAACGGGAGACGGAGGGAGUGGGUACAGACUUCAACCUAUUCCCUCAUUAUGUUUACAUUCAACACAAACCACUAGCGGGGCUGGGAAGCAAACAUAAUCAACAACUUUUCGGAUUUUAAACUCAUCACCUUGGUGCUCAUUACGAAGGGUGCAUUGACUGCACCCUCAAUGAACAGACUAGGCUGUCUCUACUGUGGGUGCUUAUAGGAGCACCAUGGGAGGCAGAGGGAAGACAGAAAAGCCAUUUUGGGGACUCACCAGGUAUAGGGAAUCACUUUGGAACAAGGGACCCCCCCAUCAGAUCCAAAAGAGAGCCACGUUCCAAAAUUCUUUCCAGCUGAGUCCACCCCUCCCUGGAAGCCCACCCUAGCCCCUUCUAGAGGCCAAGGCCACCGCCUUAUGGAGCAUGAGCAUCCCUUGCUGCAGCCAACUAUGCUAGACUCCACAGAUGCUGACCACGGUGGGCUUCAUGUUGUAUUGGGCCUGCGUUAACCCAGCUCUCUCUCGAGACAGAGCGGGUGGGGGAGCUGCAGCAGAGGGCAGACACGCCAUCAGCACCCCCCCGCCAACAGCACCUUCCUGGUAUUUAUAAACACAGAGAUCACACGCACAAUCCCUCCAGUGCAAACCAGUCCGGCUGCUUUAGAAACAAGUUGUUUUCUGCUUCCAGAACCACCCAGGAGCCUGCGUGAUGUCUCUUCCCCCACCCGACCCCCUCUUCCCUCUGCCGGUCUCCUUGCUCCAGGUGUGGAGCAGAGAAAAGGCUAUACCCACUGAUGAACAGGGAUCCACACCUGGGGAAGAAGCAAGUAUGACUUUCUCUCCUGUGGCUUUACACAACCUCCUUGAAAUUCCAAGAGCAACCCUCCCAGCUAAAGUCUUCUCAGAUGUGACACGAUCUGCACAAGCAGAGGCGGCACAGGGUUUGGCUUCCAGUUGGGAAAUGAAGCUCCAAGGGCAGCCCUACUAUGGCGGGCUGUGUGACCUGGGCCAAGCCCCUUGACAUCUCCAGACUCGGCUUCCACAUCUGCCACCACCAGGACACUGGAUUGAAUGUUGGGUACGUUGUAAGGCAAGGGAGACACAGAAGUCCUAAAGGCAAUAAAGCUUUUCCCCACUGCCCCUCCAUCUGGACGAGUCUCCUGCCAAGCAUCUUCAAGUCCCACUUUGAAACACGAUUCUGCCACCUUCCUGUUCUGAGGAUCUGGGAAAGCAAGGGGGAAGGGGCUAUUGGGAGUCCCGCUUGCUCCAGGCCCAGACCAGGAGGCUCAGGCAGGCUUAUCUACUUCUGAUGUGGUGGGGGGCCCAGGAUGCUGCCAGGGUCUCACAGCCAUGGUCUCACAGCCACUAUCAGCCUGUCCUCAAGGGUAUAAGAGAAGCUGGAAGCCUAGAUGGGCACUGCCCUCAGGCAACUUCCAAUCCAGCCAAGAAGAAUAAAGAGUAACACACAAAAUAUUGGGGGCAUGAGGCAAUAACUGUGGGUACACCUAUAAAAACCUCUAAUUGGGCUUACCUGGUACCAGACAGUAUUUUAAUUGGAUCAUAUAUAGUGCAUUAAUUCAGUUAAUAUUCACAACACCCCUAUGAGGUAGCUACAAUUAUUAUCCCCAUUCGAUGAUGGGGAAAACUGACAUCAGAAGAGGUCAACUUGCCCAAGUUUCCAGAGCUGAAAAGCAACAGAGCUGAGAUUUCACUGCAGGUAUUCUGGCCCCAGAGUCUUGGUACAAAUAGUGUUAAUGAACAAGUCUUCUUCUGGUAAGAGCACCCCAAUUUUCCUUUGGAGAACCUCCACUUCCUCAUUUCAUGUGCCAUGGGUGACCCUACCCUUGAGCUCUUGAGGUGAACACAUGGACACACGAUCCAGUCCUGACCAAACAGAAUAUCUCACUUCCCUGGCUACAGUUAGUGAUAGGUUCAGGAUUGUAGCAAUGACCCAAGACUGGCUUCUGAGAGUCACAUUUGAGACUGUGGCUCAAACUCUUAGAGAAGCACUCGUUUUUCAACUGAGACACUACAGUCUUUACUACUCCUUGAAGACGGACUACCAGGAAGAAAGCCAACCUAGAGGGCUGCAAAGCUGAGCAGUGGAGAACAGCAAGUUCCUGAUGACAUUGUUUGAUGGCCUAAACCCCAUUAUACUUCCACUGGUUAUCUCCCUGGACUUUCCUGUUACACAGAAAUUAUCCCUUUUGUGUUGAAGCCAAUUUGAAUUGGAUAUCUGUCACUUACAACCAAAAAGGUCCAAAUGUGCUAGUGAACACAGAGCACAUACUGUGAGCAACUACUCUUUUUCUUCUUUCUUUCUUUCUUUUUUCUGAGACAGAGUCUUUCUCUGUCACCCAGGCUGGAGUGCAGUGGUGCAAUCUCGGCUCACUGCAACCUCUGCCUCCUGGGUUCAAGUGAUUCUCCUGCCUCAGCCUCCCGAGUAGCUGGGAUUAUAGACACGUGCCACCACGCCCGGCUAAUUUUUGUAUUCUUAGUAGAGACGGGGUUUCACCAUGUUGGCCAGGCUGGUCUCGAACUCCUGACCUUGUGAUCUGCCCACCUCGGCCUCCUAAAGUGCUGGGAUUACAGGUGUGAGCCACCGCGCCCGGCCCGAGCACCUAAGCUUUUCAAGACAUUUCCAGAAAAACAAAUGCAGGUAAGAAAGGAUCAGUCUUCAAAGAACUUGGAAGCUGGUGAGGGAUUACAAAGAUUCUCAAAUAACUUUAAAACAAGUCAGAACACAAUUGACAGCACAAGGCAGCUACCCGGGUUCUCUGGUUAAUGCAAAGGGUGAGAAUUUUCUAUAUUGGAUGGAACACAUCAGAAAAGUUCUCACGAAGGUGGUAGCAGUGAAAUUGGCCUCAGAAGUCUGAUAGGAUGUUGGCAGGUGAAGGCAGGGAAGCUACAGGGCAGACAGCAUGAGGAAGGGCCCAGGUUCAGGGAAGUAUGGGCAUGCAGGGGCAAGUGUAAAUUGAUGGGAUUGCCUGGGACCAGAGGAAAGGUCUAAAACGUACAGUCUGAGGCUGGGGCGGGGUGGGGAAAGGAUGGUUCUGAGGUAUCUGAAGUAUCUCCAAAUAUCUGAAGAUAUUCCCCAUGGAAAAGAAACUAGGCUUAUUUGGAGUGACCCCAGAGGACAAGACUACGACUAAAAAUGGACGCUCGCAAAUGGAGGAAGUAGACCUGACCCCUGACUAAGGAAGAUGGUGCUACCUGUUUGGGGCAAAUGUUCAAAAAGAGGCUGUGUCUGUAUGGUGGAUGCUGUUAAAAGGGACUCAGAAACCAAAUGAGAGUCUGAAUUAGCUGAGUUUAACAUUCUGUGAGUUUUGUGCCAGACUUGGGACUACUGCAGAAGACCCUGGGAGAGUUGGGAUUGAAUUCCAAAGGCAGUGCUGAUGGACACUGACUUGAGGAGCCAGGAAAGAAGGCAGGAACAGUGGUGGGGAUCACAGCCUCACCUGUAUCUGUGCACUUCUAUAAAUUCACAGACUGGGAAUUUUUAAUGUGAACUGGAUAUUAGAUGAUGACCAGGAAUUGUUUUAAUUCUGUUAGGUGGGAUAAUACCAUUCACUGUGCUGUGUAAGAUAAUGUCCAUAUUGUUUAGAGAUGCAUACUGAAGAAUAUAGGAUGAAAUGACAUAAUGUUUGGAUUUUUUAUUUUAAAUAUUUCAGCAAAAUGUGGGGACAAAUUUUAUAUACAUUAUUUUUUCACACAUAUGUGGUAUUCAUAUAUACACAAAUGUAUAUAUUACACACAUGUAUAUGUACAUACAUAUAUGGGUGUAUAUCUAUGUGGGUAUGUGUAUAUGCUACAUGCAUGUGCAUAGCUGGUUAGCAAAUAGAAUAGUUAACAAAAUAAGCCAGACACAAGAUAAUACAUAUUGUUCCAUUAUAUACUUUUUUUUUUUUUUUUGAGACGGAGUCUAGCUCUGUCACCCAGCUGGAGUGCAGUGGCACAAUCUUGGCUCACUGCAACCUCCACCUCCCGGAUUCACAAGCGAUUCUCCUGCCUCAGCCUCCCAAGUAGCUGGGAUUACAGGCCCCUGCCACCAUGCCUGGCUAAUUUUUGUAUUUUUAGUACAGACAGAGUUUCACUGUGUUGGCCAGGCUGGUCUCAAACUCCUGACCUCGUGAUCCGCCCGCCUCGGCCUCCCAAAGUGCUGGAAUUACAAGCAUGAGCCACGUGCCUGGCCUAUAUACAUUUUUUUAAGGCAAAUGAAUCUAUGAUGGUAGAAGUCAGGGCAUGGUUGGCCUUGUAGGGUCAGGGGAAGGCAGAGACGAGAGGGGUCCAAGGGCCUCUGGUGCUGGCUGAGUGCUGUUUCUAGGCUGAGUAAUGUGUGCACAGGCCUGCUGGCUCUGUGCAAACUCAUUGAGCUGUGCACAUGAUUUGUGUACCUUAUGUAUGUUUUAGACUUCAAUAAAUUCACUCCAAAAUACCACCCCCUACACACAAACACACAGACACAGACACACAGACACACACACACACAGACACACACACACACACACACACACACACACACACACACACACACACGGGGAGAGAUCUGAAGUAAGUAGGAUUCCUCCAUUGAUCAUUUCUUGAGAAGCGGGGAGAAGACAUGCUCUGGGCUAUGCUUUAAGCAAGAGUUUUCCAAACAAAUUUGCUACUUUCCAGAGUGAGAUGUUUUUUUCCCAUGACCCAUGGGGCAUAUGUCAUGGGCUGCAGCCUGAAGUUGAAAAGUCUGGUUUUAAGCUGAUCUCUCUGGUGGCAGGGUAAAGAAUGGAAGGCAACAGGAAGAGCCCAGAGAGGAGGCUGGCAGCUUGUGUCUUCUGCCAUGGUUCAGGAGAGAGGUAGGGAGACUCUGUAGCAGGGCCAGGUGACAGGAAGGCAAGUGUGCUUCAGAGAAAGAGUCCAGCUUCAUUGUGUGGGCAGGCCCUGCCACUCCAGCUGCCUGGGGUAUGCUCAGAGGGACAGGGGAGGCCUGCACAGACUCAGCCAGACACCCCAAGGACAACACACGCAGAGUGCAACCAGGUGCU
rnacentral:lncRNA from 1 species